rnacentral:rRNA from 1 species
GAUGAACGCUGGCGGCGUGCUUAACACAUGCAAGUCGAACGGUGAACGAGGGAGCUUGCUCCCUCCGGAUCAGUGGCGAACGGGUGAGUAACACGUGAGCAAUCUGCCCCGAACUCUGGGAUAAGCGCUGGAAACGGCGUCUAAUACCGGAUACGACGCGCGAAGGCAUCUUCUGCGCGUGGAAAGAAUUUCGGUUCGGGAUGAGCUCGCGGCCCAUCAGCUAGUUGGUGAGGUAACGGCUCACCAAGGCGACGACGGGUAGCCGGCCUGAGAGGGGGACCGGCCACACCGGGACUGAGACACGGCCCAGACUCCUACGGGAGGCAGCAGUGGGGAAUAUUGCACAAUGGGCGCAAGCCUGAUGCAGCAACGCCGCGUGAGGGACGACGGCCUUCGGGUUGUAAACCUCUUUUAGUAGGGAAGAAGCGAAAGUGACGGUACCUGCAGAAAAAGCACCGGCUAACUACGUGCCAGCAGCCGCAGUAAAAC